rnacentral:rRNA from 1 species
UAUGUCGUAGUCCGGAUUGGAGUCUGCAACUCGACUCCAUGAAGUCGGAAUCGCUAGUAAUCGUAGAUCAGAAUGCUACGGUGAAUACGUUCCCGGGCCUUGUACACACCGCCCGUCACACCAUGGGAGUGGGUUGCAAAAGAAGUAGGUAGCUUAACCUUCGGGAGGGCGCUUACCACUUUGUGAUUCAUGACUGGGGUGAAGUCGUAACAAGGUAACCGUAGGGGAACCUGCGGUUGGAUCACCUCCUUACCUUAAAGAA